CAACUGCUGAGGAGUCUCAUAUUAGGACGAAAUGGCCGUCCAGUGC
rnacentral:hammerhead_ribozyme from 1 species